CUUGUUUUGCUUUCAUCUUUUUCAAUCAUGAAAUUGUAUUACUUUACCAAAAGUUAUAAAUUGCAUAAAAAGUCAUAUGCGUGUUUAUAAAUAAUCUCAAUUCAAACUUGUAAAGCAAACAAACGGGCACCAGUUCUAAAGCAGAAAUUAAAAGUGGUUCCGAAUUGCUCAAUUAAAUUUACUGCGGAAUUUUCUGUGAAUUUGUUUGGCUUUGUUUUUCCUUUUUCCUUCUAUACGUUUUUUUUAAUUAUUUUUGUUCAAAACUGCAAGUUAUUUAGUUAUCGAUUGAUUGGUCGGUAAAUAUUGAGACGAAGAACAGCAAUAAAAGCGAUGGCCCUUUACUGUCGGCGUUGCCAAGUGUGUUUAGUAAAUCUGUGUUAUAAAUUACAAACCGUCUUUACCUUUUAAUGAAAAAUUAUUUUAUUUCUGAAUCAAAAAUUAAAUGAAUAAAAAGACCCAUCAAUGAAAAAUGUCAGCAACCCAAGGGUCUACUCUAUAUCUUCUUCGCAAGGCAAGGGUAACAGUCCUGUCCCCUCUCGUAACCCUUGGCCACCGAAGAUGAU
rnacentral:lncRNA from 1 species